GCAACUGCUGCAAUAUUUUCGCUGCAUUUGAUAAACCGGAUUAAACUGAAGGACGCUGAAUGCUGCAUGAGAUGACUCAAAGGACACAGCAAAGCACCAGACGCAACGCGGCACUCAGUUGAAACAGAUUUGAUUUCUAUUCCUCUAUGUUCGGGUGACAUCGCUGCUCCUCCGAGAGGUUUGAGCAGGGAUUGGAACGAGGAUCAAGUCACCUGUCACAGCAAAGAAGGCCAGGCCGCAGAGAACCUGAGCAUGUAUGCCUGGAUGUGACUGUAGACUUGCUUUUAUCUUUUGUUUAUGUUUUUUAUUUUUGUUCGGGAUGGUUUUUGUGUUUGGUGCUGCUGCAUUUUUGCUUUUUGAUUUAUAUAUAUUUUUUGUUUUUCUCUUUGUGUUGUCUCGGCCUCAAAGCACCUUGAAAGACAUUUAGUGCCUUGCAAAAGUUU